UACGUAGGGUGCAAGCGUUGUCCGGAAUUAUUGGGCGUAAAGAGCUCGUAGGCGGUCUGUCGCGUCGAAUGUGAAAACCCGGGGCUCAACCCCGGGCCUGCAUUCGAUACGGGCAGACUAGAGUUCGGUAGGGGAGUCUGGAAUUCCCGGUGUAGCGGUGAAAUGCGCAGAUAUCAGGAGGAACACCGGUGGCGAAGGCGGGACUCUGGGCCGAUACUGACGCUGAGGAGCGAAAGCCAGGGGAGCAAACGGG
rnacentral:rRNA from 1 species